UAUAAAGUUAAAACUAUAUAGAGUUAGCUUUAAUAAAAACUAACUUCAGAUCUUAUUUAAAAAAUCAAACCCUUAAAAUCAACUUCAAAUUGGCCGGAGCUUACCAAAUCCGACGGCGUUUUCUCCUCCGAUCACAAUGACGCCACCAACGCCGGCGGCGGCGAUUCAUUCUCCGUCAUCUCCCCAAUACACUCAACAAUUCUUAAGCAACGUUCUCUCCCAACGAGGUCCUUCUUCUCUCCCUUACUCCGAAGACGUAAAAUGGCUAAUCCGUCAACACCUCGUUUCGUUGAUCGACACGUGUCCUUCUCUUCAACCUAGAACCGCUACUUUCACUUACAACGACGGCAGAACUGUGAAUCUCCUUCAGGCGAACGGCACAGUUCCGAUGGUCUAUCUAGAUGCAACCUACAACAUUCCGGUCAUUAUUUGGUUACUGGAAUCUUACCCUCGUCAAUCGCCGUUGGUAUUCGUGAACCCAACGCGUAAUAUGGUCAUCAAAGACUCACAUCCUUUUGUGAACUCUUCUGGUAUUGUUUCAAUCCCUUAUUUAACAAAUUGGGUAUAUCCAAGUUCGAAUCUUGUUGAAUUAGCUCGUAAUUUGAGUCAUUUUUUUAGCCGUGAUCCCCCUUUGUACACCAAACGGAACCCGAAUCCGAGCCCAAACCCGCAUCCUCCUCCGGGUACUAGUUUUUCGAAUAGUGGGUCGACUCGUCCAGCGAUACCACCUCGGUUGUAUCCACCAUCACCUUAUGGGAGUGGGAGUGGUGGGGUAGUGGGGAGGAAAAUGGAUGAUCCGUCGGAGGUGGAUAAGAAAAAUGCAAUAGAUGAGCUUAUGCUGAAAUUGCAUAGUGAUAUUGAAGGGUUGGGGAAGGCGAGGGAGUCGGAUAUGGAAGGGUUGUUUAAUGCACAAGGAGUGUUGAGGCGUCGUGAGGAGGAGUUGAGGAAAGGUGUUAAGGAAAUGCUGGAUGAAAAGGAGGGGUUAGAGCAGCAAUUACAGAUGGUUUUGAUGAAUGCUGAUGUGUUGGAAGGGUGGGUUAGAGAUAACGAAACGAAAGUUAAGAAAAUAGGGAAUGUGGAUGUGGACGAAGCGUUUGAGCUUUGUGAUAGACUUUCGAAACAGAUGUUGGAUUGUACAGCUUCGGAUUUGGCUAUGGAGGAUGUGAUUUAUUCGUUGGAUAAAGCUAUACAAGAUGGGGCAAUUCCUUUUGAUCAGUACUUGAGGAAUGUAAGGUUGUUGUCGCGUGAACAAUUCAUUCAUCGUGCCACGGCUUCAAAGGUUAAGGCUGUUCAGAUGCAGGCUCAAGUUUCUCAUAUGGCUUCUAGGCUGUCUCAAUAUACUUUGUCAUAGAUGUUGAAUUACUUGGAUUAUGUGUGCACUAUGGACGGAAGAGGUUAGUUUUUUUCAAGGGGUGGGUGCGUUACUCCUAGUGUUGUCAAAGGUGCGCUUAAGCCCUAAAUCGAGGUGCAAAACAUAUUGAGUGUUUCGUCUCGCUUAGUGUGCACUUUAAUGUUGUCAUCAAGGCUCUAAGACGUAAAUUUCCUGGCUUAUGAGCCUUGUAUCUUUUUUUUUUUAUGAAGAUAGAUUUUGUAUAGCUGGCAUGAAGAAGAUGCAAAGUUACAAAAGAUACGUUAGCUCUUACAACAACAGACCUUAAAGCAUAGGGAGCUAAUAAAAAACAAAAGAGGGCUCAGAUAAAUGGAGGACUGAAAACUAACAGCAAAUUGACUUACUAACAAAUACAAGACUUGACCAUAUUAAGAGACUGAUGGCUGGUAAAUUUCCUCCAAACACAACUCCAAUAGCACCUCCAUGAUAAUUAUUAAUUAAGAAGUCUCCUCCUCUUCUGGUUUAGGGAUACAUUUACCUUUUUUUUCCUUUUUAACUUUGUCCAACCACGACUAGAUUGACAUGAACUGGUCCAACGUAAGUUUGACUGACAGUAUAUUUGAGUGCCUCAAAGACAUUUGAUUUGCCUACAUCAGUAUGAUCAUGUUAGAGAUCGUCUAGUAUCUAUUCAAGAAAUAUAUUCUAUACUUGUGGAGCCAUAGGAAUAUGAUUUUCCACUUGGUGAAAAGAGUAAAACACCCACAUUUGCUCCGGUCAGAGUUGAAUAGUAUUUGCUUUCUUGAUCAAGCCUUUUUUCCUUUACGAGAAAGUAACAGUGCGUGCUUCCUUUGACUCAAUCAAUUUCAUAUCAAUCUUUUGCCUACCCUUCCCAAUCCUCUUUAUCCAUUGCAAAAAAAAUAAAAUAAUUAAAGAAGAAAAUAAGAUGUUUUGGCUGAAUAAAUCUGAGCAAGUCUAUUUGUCACACGUAUUGUUGUUUUCACAUUAUGAGUCUAUUUGCCAUGUGUAUUGUCACAUUUAUUUAGUGUUCUAAUAUUAUGUGAAUCUAUGAUGCGAUUACCAUGAAUCCCAACGAAAAUUGUCUUCUUAUUUAUUCUGCUACAAUUGCUAAGUAAUAGUGUUGGAUUGUAUCUAAAGAUAAAUGAAAAUUAAAUUGUUAAGUUUGUUGAUUGUUUUCAUAUUAUGAGUCUAUUUGUGACGUGUAUUCACGUUUAUUUAGUGUGUUUUCAUAUUAUGUGAAUCUAUUACGGGAUGGUAAUUAAACCAAAACUUUGUUGAAAUCCCGUCAAAACAUCUUCUAUUCCUUUCUAUCCAAACACACCGAAAAAUACAGCUAGGGAUCAUUUUCCAGAUGUUCUUGGUAACUUUGUUUAAUCUCCAAGAAUUCAGGCUUUCAACUCCUAGCCUUAUAGUCAAAGGUAGUGUCCAUGAGAGGUCAAAAACUGAUAUUUCCCUUUUUUCACAAAAAAAUAAUAUAAUUUUCUUUGUCCAUGUAUUGUUAUUCAUGCGUUUAAUUAUUUAUCUUGGAUUACCCAUACAUAUUUAUAUUUGCUCUUCAUUUGCGCAUUUCUUCAUUGAAGUCCACACUUCAUUCUCGCUUAAAGCUAUAGUGGAUCGUAGAUAUUUUCUUUUUGCAUUUUUUGAGUUUGAUAAGACUGAUUUUUCAUUGGUGAUAGUGUUUGAUUUGGCAUGAGGCUCAAUAUAUUUGUUGUUUAUAAUAUAUAUAUCAUGUAUGGCAAAGGAAGAAAGUAGUAAUAUCUAAUAGUUCUUUAAGCAGAAAAAAGCCUAUUGCAGUGAGUUUCGAAUUUGUCUACUCAUGUGAAUUAGAAACCUUGAAACUUUUGUUACCUUUUUUGAUAAGGUAAUUUUGAAGUCUUGAAAGUUGUGGAGGUUGUAUACAAUUAUAUUAUUAGUAGGAUGGUGUGGAAUAUUUUGGAACCGUAUUUUAACAAGGCAUAUUUGGGAUGACUUGAAAUGAAAAGAACGUCAUAUAAAUUAGGAGGAAGGAAGAGUAUGAUAACCUGCAGAGAUUUUUAUACUUAACAAAAGGUAAAGCAUCGAACACUCUUGUUAGGUCCUUCAGUUAAUAAGGAUUGUUGGAUUGGUGGUUAAUAACGUUUGACCUCAUUUAAGACCUCAAAAUUUUUUGUUGAUACUGUGGUGUCUAGGUUAUUUUUCGUGCACCUAGACUAUUUUCACAGGAUAUAGAUGCUGAUAACUUUGUCCAAAGCUUGGACAAGUUGGAAGAAAUCACCUCGUAUUUUUGCCUUUGCUGGGAUUAGUACCUUAGACCUCAUUGAUCACUAGACUGAAAACAAAUAAAUAAAUAGACUGCAAGUUGUUUCCUCUCAUUUCAAGAUAUAAACAGCCUCUUUUUCCUUUCAUAGUUCAAAACAACUAAAAAUAAAAGGAGAGAAUUAGAUGAAAAUUUGAAAUAAGUUGGAUUUCAGAAUGGGUAGUGGUUCUUUAUUUAGCCCUGUUACAGUGGGUUAGUCCUGAAUUGGUUGGGUUGGUGGUCUCCUAACACGGACUUGGGCAAUUUCUCUUUUUAAGAUAACCUUUGGAGUUGAGUGUAUCGGAGUCUAGUUCGUCCUGUUUUGGCCCCCAUAUACUCUUGGCGGUCUGGGCGUGCCGGAGUAUCAGAGUCCGACAUUGGUGUGAAAAUGAGCUGAUAGUCUCCUUAUAUGAACUUUAACAAUUCCCCCCCGCCCCCUAGUUUUUGUGGUUGAGUUGACGCUAGGACUAUAUCAUGCCUAUAAUAGUUCCUAUUUGAGGACCCAUGUUAUAUUGCUCACAUUCUAGUUGGCAGUCUGGGUGUGCGGGGGUAUUUAAGCGGGGUAGAGUUCCUCUUUGGUUUGUAAUGAUUUGUGAUUACUUAUAGUUAUAUAAACUUGGACAAUUCUAUCCUUUCAAGCUAGCUUUUGGGGUUGAGUUAUCAUAGUUCAUCCCCAAGCCACUUAAUUUUCGAUUGUAGAUAAGAUAGUUUUCGGAAAUAAACCUUGUGAUGCAUGUCCUGCAGUUUCAUCAAAGAAAAUUAACUUGGAUCCGAUU